GUGGGGAAUCUUCCGCAAUGGACGAAAGUCUGACGGAGCAACGCCGCGUGAGUGAUGAAGGUCUUCGGAUUGUAAAGCUCUGUUAAUCGGGACGAAAGAGCCUAGUGUGAAUAAUGCUAGGAAGUGACGGUACCGGAAUAGAAAGCCACGGCUAACUACGUGCCAGCAGCCGCGGUAAUACGUAGGUGGCAAGCGUUGUCCGGAAUUAUUGGGCGGAAAGCGCGCGCAGGCGGAUCUGCCAGUCUGUCUUAAAAGUUCGGGGCUUAACACCGUGAUGGGAUGGAAACUACAGAUCUAGAGUAGCGGAGAGGAAAGUGGAAUUCCUAGUGUAGCGGUGAAAUGCGUAGAUAUUAGGAAGAACACCAGUGGCGAAGGCGACUUUCUGGACGAAAACUGACGCUGAGGCGCGAAAGCCAGGGGAGCGAACGGGAUUAGAAACCCCUGUAGUCC
rnacentral:rRNA from 1 species